GCGGGUAGUGUUAAAGCGCCUCUGCCACAUACCUGUCCCAGGCCCCCUACAGGAGUAUGGUGCCUUCAUAUAACCAGCUGGCUGCCAGCUCUCUACUCAGCCAGCAGUAUGCUGCUGCCCUGGGUCUGGUGUCUCAUCUCAAGAUGUCAGGGUAGUGGGUUCGAUCCCCGGGACCACCCAUACGUAAAAAUGUAUGCACACAUGACUGAACAGUCCUUCACAGCCUUCCAGCGAGAAGAGGCCUGAUGGUAGAGCAGGCUGUCCAGACAGUACCAGUGGAGAAUUCUGUCUACAAGUGGCCAGUCUGCCUCCCAGCAGUAAGGAACAGAGUCUGGUCGGCCUUCCCAGCGCUCUGGCAAAGAUGCUCCUCAGUCUCAGAGGACGACUGCCUCCAGUGGGAGCAGGAUAACUACAUUGAGCUCAAAAAUUUUUGGGACAGUGACUUUUUGUUUGUUUUGGCUGUGUACUCCAGCACUUUGGAUUUUUAAUGAUACAAUGACUACGAAGUUAACCUCUUAGAUGUAGGACCUGUGUGGUUCUGGUACCUGUUCCGACUGACAUUUUCGCUUAUAGUCCCAUGUAGCUCAGUUGGUAGAGCGUG